UCCCAAACCUGAUCCUAAACCUGAUCCCAAACCUGAUCCCAAACCAGAUCCUAAACCAGAUCCCAAACAUUGCCCAGAGCUGGUGGGGAUGGAUAAGGGAUGGAUAAACCCCAGCAGAUCCCAAACCA
rnacentral:lncRNA from 1 species